ensembl:snoRNA LOC120100428 small nucleolar RNA SNORA17
CCUGCCCCUAGAAGUGUUGCAAGUAUGGCUGUUGUGUUGCAUGUUUGUCAGUUGGCAGCAGAGAGGAGAGAGGCUGUAUAUAUACUGAGCAUUCUGACCCAUGAACAUCUGAAUGAUUAGUAGCCUAACAUU